GCCAUGGUCCCACCAUCCCCCACAUGGGAAAUGGCAGCGGGCGUGCCACGGGGAUUCGCUUUUUAAAACGUUUUACGUUCAGGGGGCGAGAACGAAAAGAUGGCGAAGCAUCCAGCUUUCCGAAUGUAGGCGAGUUAACAAUAUACGCGAGGAGCAAUCAGCGUUGCAGAGGGAGGCCAUUCUAUGAGUCUGUGAUUCUAUGACUUCCUGGUCAUUCUGGAGCAUCAGCAGCUGUACGUGGAUAUGAAUUGCACUCAGAUACAGGAAGAAACUGGAGCUGCCUCAUCAAUGCCUCUUCCAUAUUGUCUGAUCUCAGGAGAAGGACAGCAUGGAUGAAUUUGUGCAACAACCCUACCCGUCAUAGAAGAUUAUAUCUUACAGGAAAAUCCACUGGUGACUUGUAAGCUACACUGGCCAUUCCUCACUCACAGUGUUACCCCCAAAACUCCUACGUGCUCACCACAGUACUGAAGCAAAAUGAAGCCUGGAUUCUGAAGAAAGGAGCCAGAACAAGGUGCUAGACAUCUUUCCAGAAGUUUCCCAACAGAGAUAGAUGUCUGCUCUCCUGGGAGAAUGUCCCUCACAUCCCACGAAAUGCUCGUGACACUUGAUUCUACUUGUACCUACUUUGUUUCUGUCUGCAACCAGAACUGAGGUGAAACCUCUGGCCCCGUUCCCCUCACUACAGGAUGAAGAAGCACAGGCCAUGCCAGGCAGAAACAAGAGGUAGGGCUGAACUGAUGAUUCGCAGACCAGUAAAUUCCAUUACACCAUGAAGUUACCUAUCUCCUCUGAGAAGCAAUGUGUGAUAGUGGAACAGCUCUUUUUAAAGAUUCCAGAACACCAUUUCCCUCCCCAGUUCUGUUCUUCUGUCAUCAGACUACACCUAAAUAUGGUUCAUUGACUCCUUCCCUCUCAGUGGUGCCCAACAGCUACAUGCUUCUCCUUUGACCUUUAUUUCCUAAAUCAAGAAUUCACAAGGAGGAGAAGAAUGUGCCAAUACCACUUUCAAUGUGCUGCCAGCACACCUGGAAUGGACUGGUUGUAUUGUUAGAAAAACAUCGGCAUCUGAAAAGCACUGCAGAAAGAUUAAAUAUAUGGGAGGAUUGUGAGCAGUACAGGAGAGACGAACUGCUAUUGAUAAGCCCAAAUCAGUGUUUGUUUGUUCCCCAGGACUCCCAGUAUCAAAACAGCCAUCUGUAGCAACUCAGCUCGCUGUUGUGUAUUCCUGGUACCUGAGCUUCUCAGUCUGGUUGUUGCGCAUUUGUUAGCCUGUGACCUUCCCACAGCAUGUACCAGACACUGAGCAGGGGAGGGAGAAGGAAGAGCAGAGGAAGACAAGUGGAGAAAUAGUUUUAUUUUUUAUUUUCAUUUUACACAAGGUCUAGGGAAAAGGACACUGGCAGAGGCCAAAUGAUAUCUGAACACCACUGUGCUAACAUGGCAACUUUGUGGGAAGGCAGUAUUUGAGUCAGAGGCCUGAUUCUCCCUACCUUUGGUUCAAGACAAAGGUAAAAAUUGUUUAAAAGCUGGUAGACAACAGACCUGAAACCAGCCCUUGCCCUGUGAGGGUGUGGCACGAUGAUAUAGCUAAAAAGAUAGAACAUUUUUGUAUGAAAUGAAAGCAGAACAGGAAGGAGUGAACCUCAUGCAGCUCGAUGCUCUCUGCAGGCUCAAUGCUCUCUGCAGUCUGUAGGGGUGCUACCCUCGCAGUCCCACUGUCAGCACUGCAGUGGAGCAGGCACAUGAGCUCCAUACUGCAGUGCAACAUCUGUGCUCAGAAAUGGAUUAUGCAGCUGUUGCAUUCUUCCACCAUCAUUUGUGCUGCUUUGCCUCCUUCCUCUCCCCCCUUACAUCUGCCUGCAGCCAUCACAGAUUGCUCUUUCUCUUCUUCCCACUCUCUAAGCUGUGUCUUGUCCCCUUUCCACCCUCAUUUCCCAGAGCAGCAGCUGCCAUGGGCACCUUUUGUUGCCUACGGAGGAGAGAGAUGGGAAACGGGGAAGGCAGGCCCCAGCCUGUAACCCAAGUUGGGACAGCAGUCAGAACCAGCGGAGUUCAACCUCAAAAACAGAAGUUACUGAGUCAAGAUAGUGAUCCAAGGUGCACAGAACCAGGGAGGACGAUUACAAUUCAAGGCAAUCUGUGCUCAUGCUUUUUCCUAGGCUGCUCUGGUAGCACAGUACAGCUGGAGCCAAAGGAAAUUCUGCAGCUGAUUUCACUAACAGGAUAAAAUAUUUGGCACAAGCAGAAUUCAGCCCUGAAGGUAUAUGAAUAAUGUUUCCCCAGCCAGCACAUGAUACCGCUGCUUGCGUUAUGCUCCUUUUAGUAAGAGACAGGGUGGGCCUCUUGGACUAUCCAGUGGUUCAUGGUGUUCAGGAUGCACCAUGAUACCCACUUAAUGAAGGAGAAGGAACAGGAUGCACUGUGACACAGACAAUAAAUCAUUGCUCCCAUCCCAGCUGGAAAGCAGGCAGUGGUCCCAGCCUGCUCAUCCAGUCCAACAGGUACGGAACUGUGACAGCAACAGAUGACCUCAGCCUGCACCUCCCAACAGACAUCCUGUAGUUCUGCCCUCUCAGAGCAGAUAGGCAACCUGCAGUGACAGGUUACCUUGCCUGCUGUGCCACUGCUUCGGUCGUACAGAUUAAAUAUGCUUUUCUCAGACACAGAAACUAUUAUUUCUCUGCGAUGAAGCAGCAUCCCACAUUCUUAUUAACCUGUGCCCUACUUCAGAAGCAAAUCUAAUUUGCAGCUUUCGUAGUUUGCUACAGCCAGAAUUGGUUUGUUCCUGUGUCUGCUCUGAGUUUGCUGAUUUUCUACUGCACUGAGUAUGGCACAACUCUCUUUUCUGUGGCCUGUCAGCAUAACUCCUGAGAAAAACAGAACAAGGCAUUGGGGUGGUUGGAGCUGUUUGUUUCAACACUCACACAAAAAAAGGCAGAAGUGUUAAAAUGUUAAUAAUACAAACAUCAAUUUGUGUCAGCAGAGAACAACGUUCUGUCAAUAUUCUGUCUGGGAUGUUCCUACACUUCUGGUCACCUCACACUGAGCAUCUCAAAUAUGCUAUUUGAGAGAAAUUUGGGUGAAAAGACAGAAUUUCAGAGGCUUCAGUGCAUUUCUGGUGGUGUGCAUUAAAAAAGAGGGGUGGGAAGUAUUAUUUCACAUGUACACCAUGUAGGGAAAGGGAAGCGGAGCCUUCCAUGAUGGCCACCACGAAAGCAGAACGCACAGCACUGUGACUGAUCCACACGGAGGUCACUGUCUGACAACCAACACAACCAAGCAAAGGAAGCCCAGAGCUUUUAAAACCAACGCUCGGCAUUUCCCAUUUCAGCUGGCACACUUUGUUGACUUCCCUUCUGGAAAUCAACGUAACCGUGCUACAGACACGGAGCCGCGUGGGGCACGAGCAGCUCCUCAGUCUUAUUGUAGGGAAACAAGAGGAUCAGCUCCUGUGGGCACUGAGCUCUGCCGCCAUGGCAGCGCUGCCCUGGGACGCAGGUUUGCGGGUUGUUCCUUUGAGCCGCCUGGAAGAUAAACUUUGGUCAACGCGUUACACGGCGCCCUUUGUAACUAAGGGACGCCAGCUAACGUGUGGUCGGGGAUCGACAUUCCCCAGGCAAUCAUGUGGAGCCGCUGGGACCGCAAUCCCAGCACGACGUCGGAGCGACCUGCGCGGUCAGGAAGGGCAGAGCCUUGGUGGGAACGCCUGUGGAAGCGCCGCCAUACCGCUCCAUGGCGUACCGGCCCUGUAGGCACCGCGGUCGCACCUCCACAACGGCAGCCAGGCCUCGG